UAUAGGUGGUACAACAUAUCAGACUUUAAUUUGGUCAGGUCAGGGAUGAAGCAGCCACGUAAGCGAGAUGUGUGUGUACCUUUUUAUUUG
rnacentral:SRP_RNA from 1 species